CUUGAUAAAGGCACUACGUCAACCACCAGUAGUGUUGCUUUCUGUUCCAUGCACUUGAUUGUCCACCCCAAAUAUGCUGGAUGCGAGGAAGUAUUCCUUACAGGUGAUGUUGAAGGUGAUGAGACAAUUCAAGGGCGCAGUAAGUUCGCUAUUUAUAUUAACAAAACGGCAUGGAAUUUGAAAACCAUUAAUUGGUUCAUCUAGAAAUUAAAUUACUGGAGGCUGCAAAGAGAUGCGAAACAUAAUUAUCAUAAAAUAUUUAUUGAAACAGAUGCAGCCCUAUUGGCUACUUACCAUAAUGAAUUACCGGAAUUCAAACGCCUGUCAUACGCGUUUCUGAGUAUAGGAUUCAAAGUAAUUGAACGUCUUAGAAUGGAAUCACCCAGUGACCCUCGUUAUGAGGGAAAUACUCCAUGGCCAGGAACCGUUUGAAACUAGAUUCCAGCAUCUACGCAGGACAAAAAUGCUUCUAGGUAAUUCUGUUGUCUCUGCAUGGCUUGUGGUAAACUUUCUAGAAUGACCAAAUUUAUUAAGUUAAAUGAAUGCCCUUUCAGUUCCAGCCAUAAAGUAUCUACAUAUGUGUAGUAGGUAUCUAGAUGUCCUGGAAAGAACGUCAUUGAAGUAAUAUCGGUAUUCUUCUGUCAGACAACUCAUGGCCGUUGAUUCUACUUUUCCGGUUAAAAAGUAUGUCAUCACCAUCGAUAAUACGCUUUUCAAGGUCCAAAAACGUCUUCACUAGAAAGCAGUUCUUUAUACGGGGAGGAUAUUCCCUUCAGAUGAGUUCGAAGUACAUGGAAUUCAAAGGCAUGAUCUAAUCUAUUCCGAUUCAGAUGUUGACUUGUUUUGUUCGAAGUGAUCCUGCCACAACAUGCAGUAUCUGAAGCUUCUAUCAAGUGCAAACUAGA